GAUGAACGCUGGCGGCGUGCUUAACACAUGCAAGUCGAACGGAGGGGUGAUUUCGGUUGCUCUUCAGUGGCGCACGGGUGAGUAACACGUAGCUGACCUGCCCUCAAGAGUGGGAUAACGGGUCGAAAGACCUGCUAAUGCCGCAUAAGCUCACGCGCAUUAGAGGCGCGCGAGAAAGGGCGCAAGCCGUUUGAGGAGGGGGCGUGCGGACCAUCAGCAGUUGGUGGGGUAACGGCCUACCAAGGCGACGACGGGUAGGGGGCCGUGAGAGGGUGGUCCCCGACACUGGGACUGAGACACGGCCCACGACUCCUACGGGAGGGCGAGCAGUGAGGAAUAUUGCGCAAUGGCGAAAGCCUGACGCAGCGACGCCGCGUGGGUGAGGAAGGCC
rnacentral:rRNA from 1 species